AGCAGCCGCGGUAAUUCCAGCUCCAAUAGCGUAUAUUAAAGUUGUUGCAGUUAAAAAGCUCGUAGUUGAAUUUCGGGAUUAGCAGGUCGGUCGUGCCACUGGUACGUACUGGUCUUGCUGAUUCCUCCCUCUUGACGAGCCGUAAUGCCAUUAAUUUGGUGUUGCGGGGAAUCAGGACUGUUACUUUGAAAAAAUUAGAGUGUUUAAAGCAGGCAUGCGCUUGAAUACAUUAGCAUGGAAUAAUGAAAUAGGACGUUCGAUCUUAUUUUGUUGGUUUCUAGGAUUGACGUAAUGAUUAAUAGGGAUAGUUGGGGGCAUUAGUAUUCAAUUGUCAGAGGUGAAAUUCUUGGAUUUAUUGAAGACUAACUACUGCGAAAGCAUUUGCCAAGGAUGUUUUCAUUAAUCAAGAACGAAAGUUAGGGGAUCGAAGACGAUCAGAUACCGUCGUAGUCUUAACCAUAAACUAUGCCGACUAGGGAUCGGAUGAUGUUAAUUUUUUAAUGACUCA
rnacentral:rRNA from 2 species